rnacentral:rRNA from 1 species
UACAUGGGGUGCAAACGUUGCUCGGAAUUAUUGGGCGUAAAGCGCACGUAGGCGGUUCGUUAAGUCGGAUGUGAAAGCCCUCGGCUCAACUGAGGAAGUGCACCCGAAACUGGCGAGCUUGAGUACGAAAGAGGAUCGCGGAAUUCCCGGUGUAGAGGUGAAAUUCGUAGAUAUCGGGAGGAACACCGGUGGCGAAGGCGGCGAUCUGGGUCGAUACUGACGCUGAGGUGCGAAAGCGUGGGGGAGCAAACAGG